rnacentral:rRNA from 1 species
GGGGGAAAAAUUGGAUCGAUAGCCAUGCGAGUCGAGAGGGUUCGGCCCUCGGCUGACUGCUCAGUAACGCGUGGAUCAUUUGCCCUUAGGUGGAGGAUAACUUCGGGAAACUGAGAAUACUACUCCAUAGGUCUAGGAUGCUGGAAUGCACUUAGGCUCAAAGUUCCGACGCCUAAGGAUGAGUCUGCGGACUAUCAGGUUGUAGUCAGGGUAAUGACCUGACUAGCCUACGACGGAUACGGGUUGUGAGAGCAAUAACCCGGAGAUGAUAUCUGAGACACGAUAUCAGGCCCUACGGGGCGCAGCAGGCGCGAAAACUUCACAAUGCGCGAAAGCGCGAUGAGGGAAUCCCAAGUGCUUGCACGUAAGUGUAAGCUGUUUUUAUGUUUAAAAAGCAUAGAGAGUAAGGGCUGGGUAAGACGGGUGCCAGCCGCCGCGGUAAUACCUGCAGCUCAAGUGGUGACCGCUAUUAUUGGGCCUAAAACGUCCGUAGCCGGUUUAAUAAAUGCCCGGGUAAAUCGUGUAGCUUAACUAUACGAAUUCCGGGUAGACUGUUAAACUUGAGACCGGGAGAAGUUAGAGGUACUCCUGGGGUAGAGGUGAAAUUCUGUAAUCCUAGGGGGACCACCAGUGGCGAAGGCGUCUGACUAGAACGGGUCUGACGGUGAGGGACGAAGCCCUGGGGCGCAAACCGGAUUAGAUACCCGGGUAGUCCAGGGUGUAAACGCUGCUUGCUUGAUGUUAGUUGGGCUCAGAGCCCAAUUAGUGUCGGAGAGAAGUUGUUAAGCAAGCUGCCUGGGAAGUACGGUCGCAAGACUGAAACUCAAAGGAAUUGACGG